rnacentral:rRNA from 1 species
AUUGAACGCUGGCGGCAGGCCUAACACAUGCAAGUCGAACGGUAACAGGAAGAAGCUUGCUUCUUUGCUGACGAGUGGCGGGCGGGUGAGUAAUGUCUGGGAUACUGCCUGAUGGAGGGGGAUAACUACUGGAAACGGUAGCUAAUACCGCAUAACGUCGCAAGCCCAAAGAGGGGGACCUUCGGGCCUCUUGCCAUCGGAUGUGCCCAGAUGGGAUUAGCUAGUAGGUGGGGUAACGGCUCACCUAGGCGACGAUCCCUAGCUGGUCUGAGAGGAUGACCAGCCACACUGGAACUGAGACACGGUCCAGACUCCUACGGGAGGCAGCAGUGGGGAAUAUUGCACAAUGGGCGCAAGCCUGAUGCAGCCAUGCCGCGUGUAUGAAGAAGGCCUUCGGGUUGUAAAGUACGUUCAGCGGGGAGGAAGGGAGUAAAGUUAAUACCUUUGCUCAUUGACGGUACCCGCAGAAGAAGCACCGGCUAACUCCGUG